rnacentral:rRNA from 1 species
AGUGGGGAAUCUUGCGCAAUGCGCGAAAGCGUGACGCAGCAACGCCGCGUGGGGGAAGAAGGCCUUCGGGUUGUAAACCCCUUUCAGUUGGGACGAAGCUUCGCCGGUGAAUAGCCGGCUGGAGUGACGGUACCUUCACAAGAAGCCCCGGCUAACUACGUGCCAGCAGCCGCGGUAAUACGUAGGGGGCUAGCGUUGUCCGGAAUCAUUGGGCGUAAAGAGCGUGUAGGCGGCCCGGUAAGUCCGCUGUGAAAGUCGGGGGCUCAACCCUCGAAAGCCGGUGGAUACUGUCGGGCUAGAGUACGGAAGAGGCGAGUGGAAUUCCUGGUGUAGCGGUGAAAUGCGCAGAUAUCAGGAGGAACACCGAUUGCGAAGGCAGCUCGCUGGGACGUUACUGACGCUGAGACGCGAAAGCGUGGGGAGCAAA